CAAUAGCGUAUAUUUAAGUUGUUGCAGUUAAAAAGCUCGUAGUCGGAUUUUGGCUGAGAACGAUCGGUCCGCCGUUAGGUGUGCACUGAUUGGUCUCAGCUUCCUGGGGGGGAGGUGUGCUUCACGGCCACUUAGUCAACGUGGUUACUUUGAAAAAAUUAGAGUGUUCAAAGCGGGCUUACGCUUGAAUAUAUUAGCAUGGAAUAACACCAUAGGACUCCUGUCCUAUUUCGUUGGUCUCGGGACGGGAGUAAUGAUUAAGAGGAACAGUUGGGGGCAUUCGUAUUUCAUUGUCAGAGGUGAAAUUCUUGGAUUUAUGAAAGACGAACUUCUGCGAAAGCAUUUGCCAAGGAUGUUUUCAUUGA
rnacentral:rRNA from 1 species